rnacentral:rRNA from 1 species
UACGUAGGGUGCAAGCGUUGUCCGGAAUUAUUGGGCGUAAAGGGCUCGUAGGCGGUCUGUCACGUCGGGAGUGAAAACUCGGGGCUUAACCCCGAGCCUGCUUCCGAUACGGGCAGACUAGAGGUAUGCAGGGGAGAAUGGAAUUCCUGGUGUAGCGGUGAAAUGCGCAGAUAUCGGGAGGAAUACCAGUGGCGAAGGCGCUGACCUGGACGAAGAUUGACGCUGAGGUGCGAAAGCGUGGGGAGCAAACAGG